GCAGUAGAACGCUGAAGAGAGGAGCUUGCUCUUCUUGGAUGAGUUGCGAACGGGUGAGUAACGCGUAGGUAACCUGCCUUGUAGCGGGGGAUAACUAUUGGAAACGAUAGCUAAUACCGCAUAACAAUGGAUGACACAUGUCAUUUAUUUGAAAGGGGCAAUUGCUCCACUACAAGAUGGACCUGCGUUGUAUUAGCUAGUAGGUGAGGUAACGGCUCACCUAGGCGACGAUACAUAGCCGACCUGAGAGGGUGAUCGGCCACACUGGGACUGAGACACGGCCCAGACUCCUACGGGAGGCAGCAGUAGGGAAUCUUCGGCAAUGGGGGCAACCCUGACCGAGCAACGCCGCGUGAGUGAAGAAGGUUUUCGGAUCGUAAAGCUCUGUUGUAAGUCAAGAACGAGUGUGAGAGUGGAAAGUUCACACUGUGACGGUAGCUUACCAGAAAGGGACGGCUAACUACGUGCCAGCAGCCGCGGUAAUACGUAGGUCCCGAGCGUUGUCCGGAUUUAUUGGGCGUAAAGCGAGCGCAGGCGGUUUGAUAAGUCUGAAGUUAAAGGCUGUGGCUCAACCAUAGUUCGCUUUGGAAACUGUCAAACUUGAGUGCAGAAGGGGAGAGUGGAAUUCCAUGUGUAGCGGUGAAAUGCGUAGAUAUAUGGAGGAACACCGGUGGCGAAAGCGGCUCUCUGGUCUGUAACUGACGCUGAGGCUCGAAAGCGUGGGGAGCGAACAGGAUUAGAUACCCUGGUAGUCCACGCCGUAAACGAUGAGUGCUAGGUGUUGGAUCCUUUCCGGGAUUCAGUGCCGCAGCUAACGCAUUAAGCACUCCGCCUGGGGAGUACGACCGCAAGGUUGAAACUCAAAGGAAUUGACGGGGGCCCGCACAAGCGGUGGAGCAUGUGGUUUAAUUCGAAGCAACGCGAAGAACCUUACCAGGUCUUGACAUCCCGAUGCUAUUUCUAGAGAUAGAAAGUUACUUCGGUACAUCGGUGACAGGUGGUGCAUGGUUGUCGUCAGCUCGUGUCGUGAGAUGUUGGGUUAAGUCCCGCAACGAGCGCAACCCCUAUUGUUAGUUGCCAUCAUUCAGUUGGGCACUCUAGCGAGACUGCCGGUAAUAAACCGGAGGAAGGUGGGGAUGACGUCAAAUCAUCAUGCCCCUUAUGACCUGGGCUACACACGUGCUACAAUGGUUGGUACAACGAGUUGCGAGUCGGUGACGGCAAGCUAAUCUCUUAAAGCCAAUCUCAGUUCGGAUUGUAGGCUGCAACUCGCCUACAUGAAGUCGGAAUCGCUAGUAAUCGCGGAUCAGCACGCCGCGGUGAAUACGUUCCCGGGCCUUGUACACACCGCCCGUCACACCACGAGAGUUUGUAACACCCGAAGUCGGUGAGGUAACCUUUGGAGCCAGCCGCCUAAGGGUGG
rnacentral:rRNA from 1 species